CGCGUAGGCGGAUAUGUAAGUGUUAAGUGAAAUCCCCCGGCUUAACCGGGGAAUUGCUUGGCAAACUGCAUAUCUUGAGUCAAGUAGGGGUGUGUGGAACUCUUGGUGGAGCGGUGGAAUGCGUAGAUAUCAAGAGGAACGCCGAAGGUGAAGACAGCACACUGGGCUUGAACUGACGCUGAGGCGCGAAAGCGUGGGGAGCGAACAGGAUUAGAUACCCUGGUAGUCC
rnacentral:rRNA from 1 species